UACAGGGGGGGCAAGCGUUGUUCGGAUUUAUUGGGCGUAAAGCGCGUGUAGGCGGUCUCUUAAGUCUGAUGUGAAAGCCCCGGGCUCAACCCGGGAAGUGCAUUGGAUACUGGGAGACUUGAAUACGGGAGAGGGUAGUGGAAUUCCUAGUGUAGGAGUGAAAUCCGUAGAUAUUAGGAGGAACACCGGUGGCGAAGGCGGCUACCUGGACCGAUAUUGACGCUGAGACGCGAAAGCGUGGGGAGCAAACAGG
rnacentral:rRNA from 1 species